CGGGGGGUUUACAAAAUGGCCACCAUGCAUGGGGCUUGCUUGUCCACGUUGUAUUGAGGGCAGUGAGAAUGUUGAGACAAAGCGUUUGGUGUGUGGAAGGGAAAGAGAAAGGGAAAGGUGGAUACCUAGUCAGUCUUACAACUGAAUGACUUCAACUGAAAUGUGUCUUCCGCAUUUAACCCAGUUAACUCUGAAUCAGAGAGGUGCGGGGUGCUGCUUUAAUCGACAUCCACGUCUUGAAGAGGCUGGGCCAGGCGCUAGUGCGUGUUUAUAGGCUGUCAUAGCAAACCAUCAGAGAAGCAUCCAGCUGCAGAUUAUGCGCGCUGUUGCCGCCUGGUCUGCAAACCGCAUAGCGCAUGCGCUGUGUUUCAGAUGGUUUUUCCAUGGGGAGUACACCGUGGAGGUGGCCAUCAACGACUACCUGGACAUCUACUGCCCCCACUACGAGGACCCGCUCCCCCUAGAGCGCAUGGAGCGCUACAUCCUCUUCAUGGUCAACUACGACGGCUACACCACCUGCGACCACCGCAUGAAGGGCUUCAAGCGCUGGGAGUGCAACCGGCCCCAGAGCCCCAACGGACCGCUCAAGUUCUCCGAGAAGUUCCAGCUCUUCACUCCCUUCUCACUGGGGUUUGAGUUCCGGCCGGGUCACGAGUACUACUACAUCUCGUCUCCACACCCUAACCUUGUUGGGAAACCCUGCUUGAAGUUGAAAGUCUAUGUCAAGCCCACAAAUGACUCAGUGUAUGAGUCCCCAGAGCCCUUCCUGACAGACGACAGCACCGGUGGCUGUUGGGUGGCCGCCCCCUGCCUCUCCCUCAUGCUGGCCAUGCUGCUCACGCUUCUCCUGUCCUCAUCAUAGCAUCUUGGGCCCGCCGGCCGUACCCCCUUUGGAACAGCCCCUACCCGACUUCCCGUCAAAUCUUCCGCCUCUGCCCCGCGCGAGGAGACAUGCCUCCUCCACACCCCAUCUCCCCACGCCUGUCCUCUCCUCCUCCCAUAUCAGUCCACUCCCCUCCACCCUCAACCCCUCGACAUGCACCAUCUGGACACUGUAAACUCAUACUGCCCCUCCCUCCCUCAGAACCCUCCAACUCCUCAGCGUAACCCUUGCUUCAUGACCUCUGGCUUCUGACCCUCGGCCUACAGCUCAAGUCCAGGUGGCAAUAAAGUGGAGUAGUCCUGGGGACCAGGAAGGAGUAGUGGAAAGACAAGAAGGAGUCCCUUAAAGACAGGAAGGAGUUCCUUAAAGUCUUUACAAAAACAGCCUCCCAGCUGCAGAGGAGCGCUGGGAUGUGCAAGAAAUGGAUGGGGUUUUGAACCGAACUGAGAACAAACUCCCCUCCUACGUGUCUGGAUGGUCGACAGUGACGUCAUCUCCACUUAAGGACCCUCUCAUUUGCAUCUUCAUCUUCGGACUGUUUGCGUUUCUCUUUGAGGCUUUGUGCUUUGAUUAUGCUCAAUAGUGUCCCACUUGUACAUGUUCAUUCUGUUACAGUGUAUUAUACAGUAGUAUAUUACUUUGUCACGUUGGCUCCUGCGGUGAUAGAUCAUAGGUGAACCUUCUCUUUAUCUCUCUCUCUCUCUUCUUGUGUGUCUCUGACCAGUCUCUCUCUCUCUCUCUCUCUCUCUCUCUCUCUCUCUCUCUCUCUCUCUCUCUCUCUCUCUCUCUCUUCUUGUGUGUCUCUGACCAGUCUUUCCCUCUCUCUCUUCUUGUGUCUCUGACCAGUCUCUCUCUCUCUCUCUCUCUCUCUCUCUCUCUCUCUUCUUGUGUGUCUCUGACCAGUCUCUCUCUCUCUCUCUCUCUCUCUCUCUCUCUCUCUCUCUCUCUCUCUCUCUCUCUUCUUGUGUGUCUCUGACCAGUCUCUAACAUCUUUGCAAUUUCUAGCAGUAGCGUCCCAGAGUAGAUGAGGACCUUUUCUGUAAAUCUGCCAAAGACACUUGUUUAACUUUUAUACCGGGAGAACAGGGGGGUGGGACGGCGCUGUCGUGGCUCUCCAACAAGGUCGUAAGCAGCCAUAGACCUCUGUGUAGACCCUCUAAAACAUGCCAUGGGGGUCCCAUCACAGGCAGGGCAGUGUAGAUUUUUUAAAAAGAGGAUCUUUUUGUCAUACAAAAAAAAAAGUUAUGUAAAAACAAACAAAUGAACCGUUUAAAAAAUUGCCUUUUUUCCACUGGUGCUGAAUUCAAAAUGAGUCUCUUCAUCUCAUGCUGCGGUGCUCUCUUUCUCACUACCCCCUCUUCUCUCUCUCUCUCUCUCUCUCUCUCUCUCUCUCUCUCUCUCUCUACCCCCUCUAUCUCUACCCCCUCUUCUCUCUCUCUCUACCCCCCUCUCUCUCUACCCCUCUUCUUUCUCUCUCUCUCUAUACCCCUCUUCUCUCUCUUUCUCUCUCUACCCCUCCUCUCUCUUUCUCUCUCUACCCAUCUCUCUCUCUCUACCCCUCUUCUCUCUCUCUCUAUCCCUCUUCUCUCUCUUUCUCUCUCUCUACCCCUCUCUCUCUACCCCUCUUCUCUCACACUCUCUCUCUCUACCCCUCUCUCUCUACCCCACUUCUCUUUCUCUCUCUCUACCCCUCAUCUCUCUCUUUACUGCUCUUCUCUCUCUACCCCUCUUCUCUUUCUCUCCCUCUCUCUCUCUCUCUCUCUCUCUCUACCCCUCAUCUCUCUCCCUCUCUUUCUCUCAUUCUCUCUACCCCCUUCUAUCUUACUCUCUCUCAUUCGCUCUACACUCUCUCUCUGUCUCAUUCUCUGCCCCCUCUCUCUCUCUUUCUCUCUCAUGCUCUGAAUGUGAGCUUUUCACCGUGUGACGUUUUCGCUGUACGACACAUGCCCAUUUCUAUGUCAGGUCCUCUUGUCUGAGUCCCAGUACUGAGGCUGGUGACCGCUGGGUCAUUGUGGAGACUGAGGGCCUGUCAUCUCGAGGGGAAUGGACAAUGUGACAUCCCCAUGUAUUGUGCAACACUAAGGGAGCCAGACCUCCAUGUACACUUAAAGGUGACGGAAAGGGAGCCAGACCUCCAUGUACACUUAAAGGUGACGGAAAGGGAGCCAGACCUCCAUG
rnacentral:lncRNA from 1 species